AUGACAAUUGUAAACCAAAGCAAAGUUGUUCGUCGACUCUGUCUACAAGGUGUCGAGGAAGGAAAUUCAGCAGUAUUGAUCGCAGAUCUCGUGUUUUCCCAUGUUCGAUCACUUACUAUGGUUAGAGGUCUGUUGUCAAUUCCUUCUUUGGAGGAGUUCAGACAUCUGCGUGUUCUCAACUUGAAGGAUUGCUCCGAAUUGGAAGAUCAACAUCUUGAAAAUAUAGUGAGGUUGUUCCAGCUGAGGUACCUGAAUCUCAAACGUACAGGAAUAAGCAAGCUCCCAGAACAAAUUGGUCGUUUAGGAUGCUUAGAGGUGCUGGACCUAACAGGGACAUAUGUAAAGGAAUUACCUGCAUCUAUUGUUAACCUCAGAAAAUUGAUGCAUCUACUUGUUAAUGAUUUUGUUAAAUUUCCUGAUGGGAUUGCAAAGAUGCAAGCAAUAGAGACGUUGAAAGUUGUCAAUGCCUCCAUUCAGCCAUUAGACUUCCUGUGCGGCCUUGGCAAACUAAAGAAUUUGAGGAAUCUGCAGCUUUACCUUGAUUUCGGAUUUGAUUCUGACACUGAGGAUACAAAUAUGGUUGGGGGGGAGCACAACAAAGCUAUUGUCUCCUCCCUGUAUAAGCUAGGCACCCAAAAUCUCCGCUCCCUGACUAUUGGGGAUCGGAGCGGCCUCUUACAUGAGGAAUCUUUGUGCCUGCCUACCCUCGAUGACCUUUUUAUAUGGUUUCCAGCCUUCCCGCAGCCGACAUGGGUGGGCUCCCUCAGAAACCUCCAGCAGCUACGCCUUGUUGUGAAGAGGUUCAAGCAGGACGACCUCUGCACCCUUGGGGCUUUACCCAGUCUGCUCGUUAUGUAUCUGGUGGAACAAACAGAGUCAAGCGGAAAGCUCAGAUUCAGUGGUGAGGUUGGGUUCCGAUUCUUGAAGAUUUUUAUUUAUGGCGGAUGUUUGGAACCAGUAGAUCUGAUGUUUGGGACAGGAUCCAUGCCAAAGCUUGAAAAACUAGAGCUUAAUGCGUUUUGCAUGGUUGAAGCUAACUCUCUCGGCUUUGGAAUUGAGAACCUCCCCUGCCUCGCUAGUGUUAAAUGCAUUAUGGUUGUUGGUGAUGAUGGCAUUGUUGAAGCUGUGAAGACUGCCAUGGAGAGAGGAGCCAGCACACAUCCCAACCACCCUAGUCUACUCUUUCAGAGACGUUGA
rnacentral:rRNA from 1 species